GUACCUUCCUUCCCCUCUGCAGUCCUGCUCUCCUAUUAAACAUUCAGCUGAAGCUCUUGUUGCCCUUUAAAGCAUUAUUGUUAAUUAGCUGCUAAAUGCAUCACAAACACAUGUAUAAGCCAGAAUAUUCAAAAUUAAAAAUAAUACUGAGUUUGGAUUCCCUUCAUGUGAAAAGCACAACAAAAUGCUACUUAUCCAAAUUUUUAUGGAAAGAUGUUAGCUGAUAUUGUUACAACAUUCACAAUUAUGCUAAAUGUCUCUUAUUUAUGUAGAUCAAACUCUUUCAUCAAUAAAAUAAAGGUUAAACACAAAAAACUAAAAGUGCAGUUACUGGAGAUGGGGGGGCGGGGCAAGGUCUGGUUGGGAACAAUAGCACUGAAGGGUCACAGGGAUAAAGCACAAAGCUCUAAGUUUCCUUAUUUUUAAUGCUAUAGCCUGUCACAUGUACAGAAUGAUGUCAGAUGUUUUCCUACAGAACACUACCACCUGCUGGCCGAUACACAAACUGUAUACAUCCAUGAGAUAAAGGAGAAACAUAUUUUGAUCAAAUCUUGAUCAAAUCUGAAUUAGGUUAACAGCUAAAAUAAUAAGUGAGUGUUUUUAUUCCCUCUUUACAGCCCAAACCUGAACAGCUAUUGUCAAAGCAAGCAGUGACCCUUAAACCUCUUAAUCCCACUAAGUGCAACUCAUGUCCAAAUACAGCUUAAAAAAGGAACUCAAACUAGAGCAGUGCUAGUUUCCACAUACGGCCUCAUACCAUUAAAAACACACAAACAUAAACACGCACGCACACGCAAAACACAAAGACCUGAAGGAAAACUUUCACCCUAUUUGUUUUUUUGCCUGAUGUCCCAUUUGGUUUUGUCUUUGCCUUCAUCCUAACUGUCUGCCAACAGGUGCAUGCUGGGACCAGCAGACAAGGUGGUGUUCAUGCAGGCGUUGGGCAUGGUGCAUGGACGGUCACUGGACAUCCGUGCAACACUGUAAAACUGUUACAAUAAUACUGGCAUGUUCAGCUGCUAAACCAGCGAGUGGUUGAAGUCUCCAAGCUUGUCCUCCUACCUGUAUGUAUGAAGAAAGCAACUGCUACGCUAUGAGCUAGCAGGAUAUUGUUCUAUAACUGAGAAGCCCUUAAAACAGCA
ensembl:lncRNA